ACGAACGCUGGCGGCGUGCUUAACCCAUGCAAGUCGAACGGAAAGGCCCUGCUUGCCGGGUACUCGAGUGGCGAACGGGUGAGUAACACGUGGGUGAUCUGCCCUGCACUUCGGGAUAAGCCUGGGAAACUGGGUCUAAUACCGGAUAGGAGCCAUUUUUAGUGUGAUGGUUGGAAAGUUUUUUCGGUGUAGGAUGAGCUCGCGGCCUAUCAGCUUGUUGGUGGGGUAAUGGCCUACCAAGGCGGCGACGGGUAGCCGGCCUGAGAGGGUGGACGGCCACAUUGGGACUGAGAUACGGCCCAGACUCCUACGGGAGGCAGCAGUGGGGAAUAUUGCACAAUGGGCGCAAGCCUGAUGCAGCGACGCCGCGUGGGGGAUGACGGCCUUCGGGUUGUAAACUCCUUUCGCUAGGGACGAAGCUUUUUGUGACGGUACCUAGAUAAGAAGCACCGGCUAACUACGUG
rnacentral:rRNA from 1 species